AGAGUUUGAUCCUGGCUCAGGAUGAACGCUGGCGGCGUGCUUAACACAUGCAAGUCGAACGGGAAUUACUUUAUUGAAACUUCGGUCGAUAUGAUUUAAUUCUAGUGGCGGACGGGUGAGUAACGCGUGGGUAACCUGCCUUAUACAGGGGGAUAACAGUCAGAAAUGACUGCUAAUACCGCAUAAGCGCACAGAGCUGCAUGGCUCGGUGUGAAAAACUCCGGUGGUAUGAGAUGGACCCGCGUCUGAUUAGCUAGUUGGUGGGGUAACGGCCCACCAAGGCGACGAUCAGUAGCCGGCCUGAGAGGGUGAACGGCCACAUUGGGACUGAGACACGGCCCAGACUCCUACGGGAGGCAGCAGUGGGGAAUAUUGCACAAUGGGGGAAACCCUGAUGCAGCGACGCCGCGUGAGCGAAGAAGUAUUUCGGUAUGUAAAGCUCUAUCAGCAGGGAAGAAAAUGACGGUACCUGACUAAGAAGCACCGGCUAAAUACGUGCCAGCAGCCGCGGUAAUACGUAUGGUGCAAGCGUUGUCCGGAUUUACUGGGUGUAAAGGGAGCGUAGACGGUUGUGUAAGUCUGAUGUGAAAGCCCGGGGCUCAACCCCGGGACUGCAUUGGAAACUAUGUAACUAGAGUGUCGGAGAGGUAAGCGGAAUUCCUAGUGUAGCGGUGAAAUGCGUAGAUAUUAGGAGGAACACCAGUGGCGAAGGCGGCUUACUGGACGAUUACUGACGUUGAGGCUCGAAAGCGUGGGGAGCAAACCAGGAUUAGAUACCCUGGUAGUCCACGCCGUAAAC
rnacentral:rRNA from 1 species